rnacentral:sRNA from 1 species
CUCAAAUGUUUUCCAACUACUUGGCUUAAAAAAAAAGAAGGUCCUCGUUCAUAGCCGUCUGAAGUUGAUAAAGUCUUGACAAUCAUGCGCUUCGCCUGAUGAAACGAAACCAGGCACCAUCAACAGGCGCGGGAGGGGCUGCUGCUAAAAAUAGUUAUUUAUCCAGUUUUUUAUCUGUUUGGAACAUGUUUCAAACAACACCAGUGUCACAAGUUAAAUCUUGAUUAUCUAUCUCUGUUGUUUGUUACUUUGUUUUCUCCUCCUGGAGAUCGGAUAACAAGGUCAGGCCCCCCGUGCUACCCCGUAUAUCUGGUUGUAGGACUAGUGGAAAGCGGGUAGGAACAUGUUUGGUAAAUCAUUCUAACCCCUCGUCAGUGGAGGAGCAGCGGCAUCAUAUGACACGAAUUAUGGAGGGGAUGGGGGAUACCCGAAAAAUGUUUUUCGAGAGUAUGUGACUGAUUGCUUGGCUGCAGAUUGUGUGACACAGAUGGAAGCUUUUGGAGUACCAGCCUAACGAAGUAAACAUAAUAUCCCUGCGGUCUUGCUAUCUCUUAAAAGGGGCUCGCUCCAUAUCCUUCGAUGUGACGGAGACCGCCAUUGGGGCCAGCGGAGCACCUCUCCAGCUUGGUGUGGAGAGAACCUGCAAUUUGGAUAAAGGCGUGCUCUGCUGGGCUGGUCUUUGAAUAAAAUGGAGUCCAGCGACGGGUUCCUAGGUUCUGGUUCAUGGGUUGAUGGAUGAUGGGGAAGAGAGUGGGAAGUUAGUGACAGUGGUAAUCGUAUGGGAUUACCCUGGCUUGCCCUCCGAUGGAACUUCCACCGUUCAAGAAGUAUGGCAGGGAAUCCUCGUCAAGUUUCUAGUGCAGCGCUAAAGUGACGGUUCGGCAACAACAAAUGUUGAGUGCUCCCUGAUUUUUCGCCGCUGCAUUUGCUUCCACGACUGAAGCCGUCUUUUCUCCGCUGUUGGUGAGCAUCCUAUGCGGCAAAGAUCCCGGGCACUCCCAGAUAUACAGUCAAUCCGUUAAUACGGAGUACAAUAAGAGAAUACGGCUGGAGUGUAUUAUCUCCGACAUAUGUAUCCGAGGUGUCCUUCUCUCCAGUGAAGUCACAUUGACCACAGGAUAAGAAUAUAAGUGUAGUGGAAGCAGGUCUCACUUUUGACUCGUUGUAAUUGCCGAAAUGGCCUCCUUCAUGCUGUGAUUGGGGCUUAUGCUCCCACUGUUACAAAGUACAGAAAAUGGACCACGGUGUUUCCAGUUACAAGUCCUCAAUCAUGCCUAGUUCAGGAGUUAAUCCAUGUAUACAGGAUAUGGGAGCUCGAAAACGAAAUCCGUGCAUCGACGAACGUUAAUUGUCUUUGUUAUUUAUAUACUGCGCUGGGAAAUGAUUGAUUGAAGCUGUCAAAAGUAUUCCGCUAUCAAGAGUCAGAAGCCGAAGAUCGACUCUACUGAUCGAGAUCUUUUUGUUGACACAAUGGCUGAUGAAAAGAGAACCAGACCCUGGUUAAUAUCAAUGCAUUAUCACGGUUAGCAAAAUUCUAGAUUGUGAUGUCCGUGGCUUAGAUAAAGAGAAUUAGCGAAUGGAUUUCUCUUGACAGUAGUGGCAAUGUGCAGAGGAGGGCAGCUGGAAACAUAAUUGGAACAGCAACUGUUCGCGUCUGAUGAUACUGGCAUAUCAGUUUAGUUUUAUUUCCCGCUAUAUCGGCUGCAUAGACCUGACUUACCUUUAACAGUGUAGAUAAUAUGCACGCUGCAUCUCAAUUAAUACCACGUAUUAUUUGAAUAUAUAUUCCCCGAAUAUAUCUCAAG